rnacentral:rRNA from 1 species
AAGGAGUAAUCCCGGGAAACUGGGUGUAAUACUCCAUAUUCCAGGGGUACUGGAAUGUCUUUUGGAUGAAAGAUUAAUCGCUACAGGAUGAGUCUGCGACCGAUUAGGUAGUUGUUGGGGUAACGGCCCAACAAGCCUGUAAUCGGUACGGGUUGUGGGAGCAAGAGCCCGGAGAUGGAUUCUGAGACACGAAUCCAGGCCCUACGGGGCGCAGCAGGCGCGAAAACUUUACCAUGCGGGCAACCGUGAUAAGGAAACCCCGAGUGCCAGCACAGGCUGGCUGUCCACCAGUGUAAACAGCUGGUGAAGAAAGGGCCGGGCAAGACCGGUGCCAGCCGCCGCGGUAACACCGGCGGCUCGAGUGGUAACCGUUAUUAUUGGGUCUAAAGGGUCUGUAGCCGGCCGGAUAAGUCUCUUGGGAAAUCUGGCAGCUCAACUGUCAGGCUUUCAGGAGAUACUGUCUGGCUCGAGGCCGGGAGAGGUGAGAGGUACUUCAGGGGUAGGGGUGAAAUCUUGUAAUCCUUGAAGGACCACCAGUGGCGAAGGCGUCUCACCAGAACGGACCUGACGGCAAGGGACGAAAGCUAGGGGCACGAACCGGAUUAGAUACCCGGGUAGUCCUAGCCGUAAACGAUACUCGCUAGGUGUCGGCCACGGUGCGACCGUUGUCGGUGCCGUAGGGAAGCCGUGAAGCGAGCCACCUGGGAAGUACG